ACCCCGAGGCUAUCAGCACCCCACGGGCCGCGCUUUACCCCAUUGCUCCUCGCUCCUGAGCCAGCGCCGCGGACACGGAGCGCUCCCGGCCGGCGAAAAGCAGCUUCAGGGUCGGGAGAAGAGGAUCGAUCGCUGCCACGAGAGCGCCGGAACGCGGCGGGGCCGUUCCCAUCACCCUGGAGCCCUUCGCCGGGCGAACCGGGCCCGGCCGCGUCAAUCCUGCGGGGCUCAGCCCCGACAGAGCGGCCCGCUCCUCUCUGCGUUCCGGACCGGACGAGGCCCGGGAGAGGUGCGAAAGCCACAUAACGACCAAGGGACGGGGCUGAGCACUCUGUGCUGGGAGCUCUCUACAGCCCGCGAAUACCGAGGGGUGGGUUUGGGGUUUAUUUCUUUGCAUCCACGAGUUCUUCAGAUAACAACGGUAAAGAAACGCCGCAGAGCUGCCCGAGCCUGAGAACUUCGGAGACGCCGGACCGCAGCGGGACCGCAGCGGGACCCCAGCUCAGUGCUGCCGGGCUGCGAGCCUAAAGUCUCGUACCUCCCUACCCCGUUCCGGAGGUCCGGUGCCCCCCGCAGCUCCCGGCCCACAGCGCUGGUGCUCCGCUCCCGACAGGGGGCGGCCUCGGCCGCUGCAGCCCCCGGGGGGCGCCGGGCGGCCGCUGCCCUCCGACGGCACCUCCCGCUGCCCCCAGCGCUCUUCUCGCCCUCCCGGAGCGGGAGGAGGCACCUGCGCCCGGGGGUUCGGCCCCGCCGCACGCAGCAGCUGACGGGCUGCCAUCAACAACAAAAAUGGGAAAAGAGGAAAAAAAAAAAAAAAAAGUGGGAAAGAAAAAAAAAGGCUCGCCGGCAGCACGGCGGGAUUGGAUUGGCCAUCGGGAGCGCGAGGCACCGUUUUCAACUUUGUAGGGCCGCAGAGAUCGGGUUGUGGUAUUUAAUGCACCCCAUGCGGAGCCCGCGCUCGUUGCCGAGAUGAAGGGGGCGGCUUUACGCCUGUGAUCGUGUUUUACACGGGGCGUCUGGAGAGCCGCGAGGGCAUCUGGAGCGCCGGCAGCGCUGCUACCUGCGGGCGGGCGGCACCGCGACCGCGGCUCCGGGCAGAGGGGGCGGCCGGGGGCUGUCCGCGGGGGGCGGCCGCCUCGGAGCGCCGUGCGCGGGGCCGGGGAGCCCCCGGGGAGGACGCGCACCUCCGGCCCCCGCGGCCCGGGGGAGCGUCGGGGCUCGGUCCUCCUGAACUCUGGGUGACCCACCGAGUUAGCAUACAAUUGCCAACGACAAACAAACAAACAAGGAAAAGGCUCGCCAA